GAUAAACGCUGGCGGCGUGCAUAACACAUGCAAGUCGAACGAUGAAGAUUAAAAGAUUUCUUCGGAAUGAACUUAAUUGGAUUAGUGGCGGACGGGUGAGUAACGCGUGAGUAACCUGCCUUGUACAAGGGGAUAGCCGUUGGAAACGACGAAUAAUAACCUAUGACAUCAAAUAAUCGCAUGAUAAUUUGAUCAAAGAUUUAUCGGUAUAAGAUGGACUCGCGUCUGAUUAGCUAGUUGGUAGAGUAAAAGCCUACCAAGGCAACGAUCAGUAGCCGGCUUGAGAGAGUGUACGGCCACAUUGGGACUGAGACACGGCCCAGACUCCUACGGGAGGCAGCAGUGGGGAAUUUUGCACAAUGGGGGAAACCCUGAUGCAGCGACGCCGCGUGAUUUAGAAGGCCUUCGGGUUGUAAAAAUCUUUUGUAUGGGAAGAAAAUGACAGUACCAUACGAAUAAGGACCGGCUAAUUACGUG
rnacentral:rRNA from 1 species